UUAAUUUAUUUAGUAUAUUUUAUUGUUAAUAGUGCUUUAAUUGGUAGUUGAGUUAAGUGGUGUUACUAAUAUUUGUAAAUCUUGUUAAGGAUUAACAAGGAAAUUACUACGACUAUACUUGGCUUUAAAAUUGAAUUGAGUCUGUUACCUCAACCGUACCGAUCAAUCUCAUUCGUGUCUUCUCCAUCCUACGUGACAUUGGCGAUAUAAUCUGUGCCCUGUCGGCGCAACUAAAAGCCAUUAAACUAAGAAUUGAAUUGAAUUGAA